GUUCCGGGUCUCCACGCCCUCCUGGUUUGCGGGCAGCCGCGAAGCCGCGAGUGGACCGAGCGAGUGCAGCUGCCUCCGCGGGGCCGCGCCUGGCCGCCGCCUCCCUUUACCUCCGGCCGCCCCGUGGCAGGUGUAGAAGCUGCAGAGGCCGCAGCAGCCCAGCGCGCCCCUUCCGUGUGGCCGCAUGCCACCCGCGCCGCGCCCAGCAUUCCAGCGUCCAACAGAGCAUGCGUGCACCAUUCCAGCAUCCGGCAACAAUGCACCAGCAUUCCAGCGUCCAACAGAGCAUCCGUGUACCAUUCCGGCAUUUGGCAACAAUGCACCAGCAUUCCAGAGUCCAACAGGGCAUGCGUGCACCAUUCCAGCAUCCGGCAACAAUGCACCAGCAUUCCAGCGUCCAACAGAGCGUGCGUGCACCAUUCCAGCAUCCGGCAACAAUGCACCAGCAUUCCAGCGUCCAAAAGAGCAUCCGGCAACAUCCCGGUGUCCAGUGGCACAUGUGCACCUGGACGUUCCAGUGUGGUGAGCUUUCAGGCACGGAGCAAGGCCAAAGGGAUAAAAAGAUGAAGGUGACGCAGUACUCCCCCUUAUAGUGCCUACAGGCCUUAUAGGCCAGACAGAUCUGGAAAUAAAUAAUUCAUAAUAAAAAAUAAUUACAGAAUAAGAGGCAUAAUAACCAGAUAGAAAGUAUUGAAUAAAUCUGUAAGAAAUG
rnacentral:lncRNA from 1 species